CUCUGCGUAAGUCUUUUGCAUUAUGACUUUGUACAACACCAUAAUCCAUGAAAGCUGAUCCCAAGACCUUAGCAUCUGAUGUUGUACAUCUACACCACAAGAUAAUCCCAUUGUAAACAGUGCCUCACUCUUGCAGAGGAAACAGGAUUAACAUUUCAUGUUUUCAAGUGAUGCCUAAGGAAUACAGAACAAGGCCAUGGUUGUUUUUGUCAACUGCCAUCAAGUUAUCUUCAGCUUCUGUUGAUGCUGUGAUUGAGAGCCCUUCAAGUUAUCCUGUUCUCAACAACCCUGCUCAGGUCUUACAGCUUCCUUGAUUGGAUCUAUCCAUCUUUUACUACUGCCUUCUAACAUACCAAACACUUUUCUUGUGUGUCAUGUCUUCCCAUGAUAUCUGAAAAUUCAGCAUGUACACAAACACAUACACUCAUAAAAAUACACAAAUAUCCAACCACAGACUUACAUACAUAAUUCAGGAAUUACAAGUAUGCAAUUCCCACCCACAAACUUAAAGAACCAGUAGCUAUUUUAACUCCAACCACCACAGCAUCUUUGAUUUGUCUGCCAUUGAAACUGAGAUACCAUUUCUUUCAAGCACUUAGGAUGUAAUGAAGAAUUUCUGGAUGCACAGUCUUAAGACCUUGAUAUAUUGUAGCCUCAACCUGCAUAACACCAUUAUUCACUUAAGAAUGGUGGCAUUAAAACCUUAUAAAAAGUAA